rnacentral:rRNA from 1 species
UUUCUUCGGAAAUGAGAGAGCGGCGUACGGGUGCGGAACACGUGUGCAACCUGCCUUUAUCUGGGGGAUAGCCUUUCGAAAGGAAGAUUAAUACUCCAUAAUAUAUUGAUUGGCAUCAAUUAAUAUUGAAAGCUCCGGCGGAUAGAGAUGGGCACGCGCAAGAUUAGCUAGUUGGUGAGGUAACGGCUCACCAAGGCAAUGAUCUUUAGGGGGCCUGAGAGGGUGAUCCCCCACACUGGUACUGAGACACGGACCAGACUCCUACGGGAGGCAGCAGUGAGGAAUAUUGGUCAAUGGGUGCAAGCCUGAACCAGCCAUCCCGCGUGAAGGACGACUGCCCUAUGGGUUGUAAACUUCUUUUGUAUAGGGAUAAACCUACCCUCGUGAGGGUAGCUGAAGGUACUAUACGAAUAAGCACCGGCUAACUCCGUGCCAGCAGCCGCGGUAAUACGGAGGGUGCAAGCGUUAUCCGGAUUUAUUGGGUUUAAAGGGUCCGUAGGCGGACUUAUAAGUCAGUGGUGAAAGCCUGUCGCUUAACGAUAGAACUGCCAUUGAUACUGUAAGUCUUGA